UAGAGUUUGAUCCUGGCUCAGGAUGAACGCUGGCGGCGUGCUUAACACAUGCAAGUCGAACGGAGAAGGAGGAGCUUGCUCCUCUGGAUUAGUGGCGAACGGGUGAGUAACACGUGAGUAACCUGCCCUUUACUUUGGGAUAGCCUCGUGAAAACGGGAUUAAUACCGAAUACUUUCCUUAGAAGGCAUCUUCUUUGGAAGAAAGCUCCGGCGGUAAAGGAUGGACUCGCGGCUUAUCAGCUUGUUGGUGAGGUAACGGCUCACCAAGGCUAUGACGAGUAUCCGGCCUAAGAGGGUGAACGGACACAUUGGGACUGAGAUACGGCCCAGACUCCUACGGGAGGCAGCAGUGGGGAAUAUUGCACAAUGGGCGCAAGCCUGAUGCAGCGACGCCGCGUGAUCGAUGAAGGCUUUCGGGUUGUAAAGAUCUGUCGUGUAUUAGUAAAUUGAACAGUACACAAGAAAGGACCGGCUAACUACGUGCCAGCAGCCGCGGUAAUACGUAGGGUCCAAGCGUUAUCCGGAAUUAUUGGGCGUAAAGAGCUCGUAGGCGGCUUAUCGCGUCUGAUGUGAAAUCUCUCGGCUUAACCGGGAGCUUGCAUCGGGUACGGUAAGCUAGAGUAUGGUAGGGGAGACUGUAUUUCCUGGUGUAGCGGUGAAAUG
rnacentral:rRNA from 1 species